rnacentral:sRNA from 1 species
GAGGUGUGGUCCCUGUGAUCUGGGCCAGCCAGCCUCUGGGCCAGGGAGGAGGGCGAAGCUCUCAGGUGCAGAUUCACUUUAUAGGAACAGCUUCAGCUUCAGUGAUGAAAAACUGAAUUCUCCAACAGACUCUACCCCAGCUCUUCUCUCUCCCACUGUCACUCCUCAGAAAGCUAAAUUAGGAGACACAAAAGAGCUAGAAGCCUUCAUUGCUGAUCUUGACAAAACUUUAGCAAGUAAGU